AAUAAAAAAAGAGACUUACUCAUGUUUAUGAUCUCUGCUGAAUAAAGUGCUUCAUUCUUUUUUUCUGAGGAAAUCCAAAUCUCAAAUCCUCAACCACAUCACAUCUUUUUGGGGUGAAUUAUGUCUUAUUCCUCUCAUUGCGAAGCAAACAGUAAAAUAAUAAAAACUUGAAGAACAAUCUCGCUGCGUUGUCUUCUGUUGUGUGGGCGUAUUCAAAAGCCGCGCGCUUCAGUGAAACAUUUGAAUCUCAAAAGCGCGCUCGGCGCGGGGGCGUGGUCACAUUAGAAGAUAAUGAAGGGAGACGUGAAAAACGGACAUCGCGUUGUUUUCAUAUGGAUUACUUUAUCACAGAAUAUUUGUUUUCAGCAGCACUUGUUUAGUUUAAAAGUAGACAUGUCAGGCUUUCUAUAGUUAUCUCUCUCAUGUCUCUGUGUUGAGUAUUCACUGAGUUACAGUUCAUUUUAAUGACGCAUUUGUAUCUGAAGAUCAGCGCAGACAAAGGCUGCAGACAGCACUCCUUGUUUGUUAUCUUUAUUUUAUAAGUGCACAAAGUUUUGUUGUUAUUGUGUCUGUAUACAAAAAAAAGUGCACUUAUAAAAUAAAGAUAACAAACAAGGAGUGCUGUCUGCAGCCUUUGUCUGCGCUGAUCUUCAGAUACAAAUGCGUCAUUAAAAUGAACUGUAACUCAGUGAAUACUCAACGAAGAGACAUGAGAGAGAUAUCUAUAGAAAGCCUGACAUGUCUACUUUUAAACUAAACAAGUGCUGCUGAAAACAAAUAUUCUGUGAUAAAGUAAUCCAUAUGAAAACAACGCGAUGUCCGUUUUUCACGUCUCCCUUCAUUAUCUUCUAAUGCGACCACGCCCCCGCGCCGAGCGCGCUUUUGAGAUUCAAAUGUUUCACUGAAGCGCGCGGCUUUUGAAUACGCCCACACAACAGAAGACAACGCAGCGAGACUGUUCUUCAAGUUUUUAUUAUUUUACUGUUUGCUUCGCAAUGAGAGGAAUAAGACAUAAUUCACCCCAAAAAGAUGUGAUGUGGUUGAGGAUUUGAGAUUUGGAUUUCCUCAGAAAAAAGAAUGAAGCACUUUAUUCAGCAGAGAUCAUAAACAUGAGUAAGUCUCUUUUUAUUUAUUUAUAUACUUGUACUAGUUUUCACAUAACGUGUAAACAUUUUACUAGUUAGACUUUUUCCAAAGACUUUUUCCAAACUAUAAUUCCUGACUAAAUGUAUAAUCAAGUGAAAUAUUAUGAAGUUUCAAUAACAAUAUACACUAUUAUACCAUUCAAAAGCUUGAUGUAAAUAAUAUAAAUGUAACAAUAAAUGUAACUGUAACAAAUGUAACAAUCAUUGCUGUUCUUUCAAUUUAUCCCCCCUAAAAAACCUAAAAAAAAAAUAUUCUCAGCUCUUUUCAACAUUAAUAAUAAUAAUAAUAAUAAUAAUAAUAAUAAUAAUAAUGAUGAUGAUAAUAAUAACAAUAAAUGUUUUUUUUGUAGAAAAUAAGAUUGUUAAAAGGAUUUCUGAAGGAUUGUGUGACUGGAGUAAUGAUGCAAAAAAUUCAGUUUGAAAGUCAGCUUUGAUUUUUCCUAAUAAACUGUUUAACUGCACUCACAAGUGAAUAUUAAAUUAUGUUGUGGGAUAAUUAAAUAUAUUCUAAAUAAACUACAAACAUAAAAUUAUAUACAUUUAUUUUGUCCUCACAUUCUUUCUUGUAACUCAUCCCUCUCAGUGACACAGCUGACUGAAUGGCUCAUUAUGCAGCUCAUUAUGCAGGCCUUUGUCUUCUCAGGUGUGAAUUCAUGAUAGUUGACGCCUACUCGCAUAUGACUUU
ensembl:lncRNA